rnacentral:rRNA from 1 species
CAGUCGCCGCGGUAAUACGUAGGGUGCGAGCGUUAAUCGGAAUUACUGGGCGUAAAGCGUGCGCGGGCGGUUUUGUAAGACAGGCGUGAAAUCCCCGGGCUCAACCUGGGAAUGGCGCUUGUGACUGCAGAGCUAGAGUGCGGCAGAGGGGGAUGGAAUUCCGCGUGUAGCAGUGAAAUGCGUAGAUAUGCGGAGGAACACCGAUGGCGAAGGCAAUCCCCUGGGCCUGCACUGACGCUCAUGCACGAAAGCGUGGGGAGCAAACAGGAUUAGAUACCCCCGUAGUCCCUGUCUCUUAUAC